AGACCAUGUUGUGGGUAAUGCCUCAAAAGGUCCUUAUAACGCUCCCAUGCCUCAUAAAGGGUUUCGUCCUCUUGUUGAGUAAAAGAGGCUAUGUCAUGUUGAGGCU